AAAGUGGAGCAAUCCAUGAGUACAGUGGCGUACGGGUGAGUAACACGUGGGUGAUCUACCUCUUAGUGGGGAAUAACCCUGGGAAACCGGGGCUAAUACCGCAUAAGCCUGAGAAGGGAAAGCAGCAAUGCGCUGAGAGGGGAGCCCGCGGCCGAUUAGCUAGUUGGCAGGGUAAGAGCCUACCAAGGCAGAGAUCGGUAGCCGGCCUGAGAGGGCACACGGCCACACUGGCACUGAAACACGGGCCAGACUCCUACGGGAGGCAGCAGUGGGGAAUCUUGCACAAUGGGGGCAACCCUGAUGCAGCGACGCCGCGUGAGCGAUGAAGCCCUUCGGGGUGUAAAGCUCUUUCGGCAGGGAAGAUGAUGACGGUACCUGCAGAAGCAGCUGCGGCUAACUACGUGCCAGCAGCCGCGGUAAUACGUAGGCAGCGAGCGUUGUUCAGAGUUACUGGGCGUAAAGGGUGUGUAGGCGGUUCUUUAAGUUUGGUGUGAAAUCUCCCGGCUCAACCGGGAGGGUGCGCCGAAUACUGAGGGACUUGGAGUGCGGGAGAGGAAAGUGGAAUUCCUGGUGUAGCGGUGAAAUGCGUAGAUAUCAGGAGGAACACCGGUGGUGUAGACGGCUUUCUGGACCGUAACUGACGCUGAAACACGAAAGCGUGGGUAGCAAACAGGAUUAGAUACCCUGGUAGUCCACGCCCUAAACGAUGCAUAUUUGGUGUGGGUCAUUCAGUUGAUCCGUGCCGGAGCUAACGCGUUAAAUAUGCCGCCUGGGGAGUACAGUCGCAAGGCUGAAACUCAAAGGAAUUGAC
rnacentral:rRNA from 1 species